rnacentral:misc_RNA from 1 species
AAGUCGUAACAAGGUUUCCGUAGGUGAACCUGCGGAAGGAUCAUCGAAAAAAGGGAAGUGAGCGGGUUUUUUCUAGCCCGUGCAUUCUCCCGAAAAAUGUAUUCACCCCAAGUUCCUAAAAAUUUCGUAAUAAAAACUCCAAAGACCAUCGGUAAGACGAUGGCGCAUCUAAUGCAAAGCGAAAACUUUCAACAACGGAUCUCUUGGCUCUC